GGUGCUUUGGCCGAGUGGUUAAGGCGACGCCCUGCGUAAGUGUCUCCGACACAGCUCUCAAUGAAUUAAACUAACAGUGGAAAUAGUACUAUACAAGUAUUCAAGGCGUUGGGUUCGCCCGCGCAGGUUCGAAUCCUGCAGGCAUCG
rfam:Drechmeria coniospora strain ARSEF 6962 chromosome 03, whole genome shotgun sequence.